CAGUACUAAAUGCUCGUCUCUUGUGUCUCAUUUUGGAGGCGCGCGUCUGUUUCUAUAGAAACCGGAGCUUCUAACGGCCGCUGCAGUGACGCGAUGACUUUACCAAUCGCCGAUUGGCUCUUAUUUAGGAGGCGGGACUUAUUCCGCCAUAUUGCGCGUUCCACUUUGUCCCAUUCAAAAACAAUACGAGUGACGCGUCUUGUGUUGUCUUUGAUAUAACUGACGAAACCGUCAUUUUUAAACUUCCGGUGAAAUAUUGCGCUGCUAACAUUAGUAAACGAUUUGAAUUCAAAAGAUCUAAAGCGAGCUGGUGAGAGACAGUGACACAGAGAGAGGGAGACGGGAUGAGGUGCGAAGCGAGGGGUGUCUGUCUGUCUCCCGUCAGGAAGCAGCACAUCUCAUGUCGUGUCGCGCUCGCUGCCUCCGAGGGCGACGGUUGCCGUACCGACAGGAAACCACAGUGAUGUCACUCGUGUAGCUGAUGUCUGGCGUCCUGCACAGCUGUCAGAUUGCUGCGUUUGAAUCCAUGUGGCAGCUGCAGCAAGCGCCCAGCUGUGUGUGCGUGUGCGUGUGUGUGUGUGUGUGAGUAGAGCCAAAUGCUCCUUUGUCAUCUCUAAACAAUAGAAACAAUCGGGCAGCACACUCACCCCGGACAUGGCAAUUAAUCACACAAACAGAGCAGGGGGUGUUAUGGAGAUGAUGAUGUAGAAGAGGGGGUGCAGAAGAAAACAAAAUGGCUGCUGAGCAUUUUCCAGUCAGGAUAUGCUUCUGAUAACUUCUAUUUUUAUAUUUUUGACUUUAAUUUUAGUCAUUUUUAUUAGUAAUUUCAUGAAGUAAUGUUCACAGUCACGUCUAGAGGUGUUGACAUGCAUGCGCAGGAGGGGCACGCUGCCUCCCUAUCCAUACUAAAUGAUAUGCGAUGCAAAUAGUGUGCAAGAAGAGUCUGGAUAGUGUACUAUUCCUAGCUGAUUAUUAAAGUGUGCAUUCAUGUUUUUAGAUGUUAUAUUACCCACAAUUCUUGGCAAUACAGAUAAUUUGAAGUUGCGUCCUAAAUGACACACUAUGCACUGUGUACUGAACUGUGUAGUGUAUGAAAUUUAUAAGGUUAUUUUAUCAUUCAACAUUGCCCCUCUCCCUCCUCUGUGUAAUUAAAUCUGCAACAGUUAAAGUUUCCAACAUUCCACACAGUGGCUGCGUCUGAAAUCGCAUACUCUCAUGUAGGUACCUAUUUUGAAUAAUUACUUCAUGACCGCUAAAUGUACAUUCUAUAUAGUAUGAAUGCAAUCUGGGGGUACUACAUUCGCCAUGUUGUCAUUAUCAUGUGACCAAUAAAGCAUCAGUUUCAUUGCCAUUCACAAAUCUUCUCCCGUGGCCUCAUGGGAAUAGUAAAGUGUCCAUCGUAUGCACACUUCAGAAUCUCGCCGGUAGUCAUCCAGGGAAUUUUUGCCUACUCUUUUAAGGAUAUUUUUUAAGGUUGCAUCCCAAAUGACCCACUAUACACUAUGCACUUAUACCUAUGCACUAUGUACUCAUCCGUGUAGUGUGUGAAUUUUAUAAUGUUACUUUGUCAUUUAACAUAGGAGUCUGAUGCCCCUCCCCCUCCACUACGUAACUAAA